AUGUACAUUCUUACACCAUAGUGUUAAUGCACUGGAUCCCAUUAGAACUCUGUAAUUAAGUGUGCUUGGGAUAGAGUAGUACUAGGAUGGGUGACCAUCUGGGAAGUUCCAGUGUUUUACAUA
rnacentral:rRNA from 1 species